UACGUAGGGUGCAAGCGUUAAUCGGAAUUACUGGGCGUAAAGCGUGCGCUGGCGGUUUUGUAAGUCUGAUGUGAAAUCCCCGGGCUCAACCUGGGAAUUGCAUUGGAGACUGCAAGGCUAGAAUCUGGCAGAGGGGGGUAGAAUUCCACGUGUAGCAGUGAAAUGCGUAGAGAUGUGGAGGAACACCGAUGGCGAAGGCAGCCCCCUGGGUCAAGAUUGACGCUCAUGCACGAAAGCGUGGGGAGCAAACAGG
rnacentral:rRNA from 1 species